rnacentral:rRNA from 1 species
UACAGAGGUCUCAAGCGUUGUUCGGAAUCAUUGGGCGUAAAGGGCGUGUAGGCGGUUUGUUAAGUCAUGUGUGAAAUCCCUCGGCUCAACCGGGGAACGGCGCAUGAAACUGGCAAGCUAGAGUACCAAAGAGGGGGGUGGAAUUCCCGGUGUAGCGGUGAAAUGCGUAGAUAUCCGGAGGAACACCGGUGGCGAAGGCGGCUUCCUGGACCGAUUACUGACGCUGAGGCGCGAAAGCUAGGGGAGCAAACGGG